GCCAGAACUGGAAGCACGGUAACGUGUGCAGGUGACUGGUACUAAUAGGCCGAGGACUUACCACAA
rnacentral:rRNA from 1 species